rnacentral:rRNA from 1 species
UACAGAGGGUGCAAGCGUUGUUCGGAAUUACUGGGCGUAAAGCGUGCGCAGGCGGUGAUGUAAGACAGAUGUGAAAAUCCCCGGGCUCAACCUGGGAACUGCAUUUGUGACUGCAUCGCUGGAGUGCGGCAGAGGGGGAUGGAAUUCCGCGUGUAGCAGUGAAAUGCGUAGAUAUGCGGAGGAACACCGAUGGCGAAGGCAAUCCCCUGGGCCUGCACUGACGCUCAUGCACGAAAGCGUGGGGGAGCAAACAGG